rnacentral:rRNA from 1 species
UACGUAGGGGGCAAGCGUUGUCCGGAUUUAUUGGGCGUAAGGCGCGCGUAGGCGGCAAGGUAUGUCGUGCGUGAAAUCUCCCGGCUUAACUGGGAGGGGCCGUGCGAAACUGCCUGGCUUGAGGUCGGAAGGGGAAAGUGGAAUUCCGGGUGUAGUGGUGGAAUACGUAGAUAUCCGGAGGAACACCAGCGGCGAAGGCGGCUUCUGGUCC